rnacentral:rRNA from 1 species
CGCGGUAUUUUGACCGUGCGAAGGUAGCAUAAUCAUUAGUCUUUUAAUUGAAGGCUUGUAUGAAGGGUUAGACGAGAAAUUAGCUGUCUUUAUUAAAAAAAUGGAAUUUAACUUUUAAGUGAGAGGGCUUAAAUGUUCUAAAGGGACGAUAAGACCCUAUAAAGUUUGAUAUUUAAUUUUUUAAAAAAUAAGAUAAAUAGAUAAAGUUAAUUAGAAAAAAGAUGUUUUGUUGGGGCGACAAGAAUAUAAUUUAUAUAACUGUUUUUAUAUUAAUACAAUAAUGAUUGAAUUAGUGAACCUUUAUAAAGGUAAUAGAGUAAAUUACUUUAGGGAUAACAGCGUAAUUUUUUUUGAGAGUUCUUAUCGACAAAAAAGUUUGCGACCUCGAUGUUGAAUUAAAGGUUCUUUGUAACGUAGAAGUUACAUGAGRRGGUCUGUUCGACCUUUAA